UGGCUGCCUAACCGACAACAAGGCCGGAAACCUCCGCAAACAGUUGUGUUUUCUUUAACACACACACACACACACCACCCCACAUAUUCGUUCGUAUCCCUCUCCUUCGCCUUUUUCUUGUGCUGCCCUCCCGGGGUCACCCCGCCUCUCGCCUCACGCACCGUAUCCCAGACCCGAUUCCACAGGGUCAGGUGUGCGUGUCGGCGCAUUUCGGCAGCUGACAAUACAUUUUUCAAGACCAACAACAAAAAAGGAGACGCGCCAGUUGGCCGAGACAGAUGCAGUCCAGAGAAGAGCGUAGUCGAUUAUCAGGCGCGUCCCUCUCGACUUUGUCGGUUGACGCCUCGCACGCCUUCUUCUCGCCUCCACUGGCAGCGGCUGCUCCCACGGUGUCGCUCAUUCGCACUUCUGUAACGGCUGGACUCGUGGCAUUGAUGCCUCGCGCGUACGUGGUGACGCGCCACCCGGCGGCGACCGAGAAUGCAAUGCCCCAUCAUCGCGCUCACAGCUCAGAGGGCGGUAAGAGCGGUGUGUUGCCGUCGUCGCGUGUCUCGUUGCUGGCCAUCCUGUGCGGAUACCUUGCGCUAACGGCGGCUCUCGUCGCGUCGGAGCCGGCGCGAAAGAACGGACUUGUGGCGCUGCUCGUGUGGGUGUAUCGUAUGACGCGCGAAACCAUGCGCGCCUACUUGGCUCCGCAGUCGCGCUGUUCGCUGUGCCGCUCUCCGAAGCCGCGCCGCCACGCUCUCGCGCAGGUGACUGUCUGUAUCGCUGUGCUGUGCGUCUCCCUCCUCGUCCGGCUAGCCUGUCCCGCCCGGGCCGCGUUCGUCUCAUCCUCGCUGAUCUCGUACUGCUCGGACUCGGGGGACGAGAAUAUCAGCUGCACGAAGAAGAUGGUCGUGACGGUGACGGUGGAGGGAGAGCAGCUGCCGGGUGAGGAGUCCCUACUCUUUCUGAACUCCGCCACGGAUAUGACGGUCAAUAACGGCACAGCCGUGCAGUUCUCGCCGCUGCGCAUCACGACCAGCCGCAGCGCCGUGCGCUACCGCUACCCGCUUUUCUAUGUGCAGAACUAUAACGCAAAGCCUUACGAGGCAACGGUGAAGGGCAGUCUGCUGAACCAGUGCAACGCGGACUUCAACGCGGACACGGCGACGUGCGGGCUGGCCUACGACGCCGCGGGAAAGGCGAUUCCGUACUCGCAGGGCUUCUGCUGUGACUGCAGCAUGUGCCAGACGCUUGGCCUGUGCCAACCCGACGCGCGCGCGAACGCGGCGUGCAACAUCUUUGACAAGUACACGACGGCCUCGUGCCUGCGGUUUGCUCAGCGGUGGUACAGCGGGUACACGAUUGGCGGCUACAUGACGUGGUAUACAGUGAACUUGACCUUGUCUCGAAACGUCUCUGGCAGCGGCGGUGCGGGCGCGGCCGAGAAGGUUGUGAUGCAUCUCUCGCCGUCCAACAACGGCGAGACGGCCGGUGAGGGGUGGGACGUGAUGGCUCGCAUUGUCGGCACCUACGCCCCCGUCGACCAACCCCUCGACCUGACGUCGCGCAUGCUCUUCGCUCCGGCAAUCCCGCCGAACGACGCGCGAGUGCAGGCGGGGGCAGCGGAGUGGCUGCUGCUGCCGACGAACCUCGUCACUCUCGAUGGGCGCGAGUGUGAUAAGGUGGGCGUGUCGUACGAGGCCUUCGCUUCUCAGGGCAACAAGUGCAAUUUGCGUCCCGGCAGCUGCCUCAGUUCCCAACUGGAGGACUACCGCACCGCCGAUCUGCAGCGCAUUGCUGCUGGAAACAAGGGGCAGUAUAUGGCCACCAGCUUCGGCGACUUCAACCUGGAGAACGACGCGGCCACGUCCCCGUAUAUCUCCUACCUCGCCGCCUCCCCUGCGGCGACGAUGAUCAGCAUCACCGUCAGCGCUGACGACCUCGAGUACACCGUCGGGCUCGCCAGCGGCAAGAUCGUCUCCGCUGACCUGAACAAGCCCACGCUUCAGGCGGGCACAGCAGACGGCGUCAUGACGGUGAUGGUGCGCAACACGGCAGCGGUGACGGGGCGUCUCGUCGUUGGCAUGCUGAACUGCUCAGACGGCGUCUUCCCGAUGACGGCGCAGAAGCUCUCCCUUGCCGCGCAGCAGCAGGCUGCGGUGACGUUCAAGGUGUACGUGCAAAACUCCUACGCCUCAGGGAAAGCCAGCUGCACUGUGGUGGUGCGGAAUGCCCACGAGGCCAUCACCGACCUUCGAGUGGUUUCGUGGAAGGUUUCCUCGACGAAUUUCCACAAUGGCACACAGGGCGGCUCGGCGGACGACGGCAGCGGCGGCGUCUCAACCGAGGAAUCCUCGGCAGCGUCCUGCUUGAACUGCCGCACGCUGGAUAUUGCGUGUGCGGUGCGACGACGGUGCUGGCAGCUCAUUCUGUUGGACCUCUUUGUGUACCUGCUGAUCAUCGCCGUGGUAUUGUGCGUGAUUUUCUUCUGGCGCGUCUUCUGCUGCUGCCUUUACCUCCUGGGCCGCCAACACCGCCGCGGCAGCGGCGGCGAGGCGGAGCCGAAGAAUGAGGCGAGCCGAUGGGGGGGUUGCUGGAAGCGGCGCGGCGAGAGUGGUGGCACUAGCUCCUCUCGCCAUACCGACCACAAAAAUAGCGGCAGCUCCGACGCGCCGCUACAGGCUGCGGCACCAGUCAGCCCCGCACCACCGUCGGCACCAGCCAUGAUGUACGUUCCGACCCCGAUUUGCUACGAGCCAGCGCCGUUCACGACGCGCAGCGGCGGCGUGGAGGCUGCAUCUUCAGCGGCGUCCUUUACGCCUCCUCUACAAGCUCUGCCGCCGCCACCAGCGGUAUUGCACCCGCUCGCGCUGAUGCCACCGCCGAGGUGGUGCCCGUACGGCAACGAGGAAGCCGUCGUUCCGGGGGAGGGCCCUUGUGCGGCGCACGCCUUUCCGCCUCACUCCCCCAUCGGCAGCUUCGCCUUUGCUGCGCCGCCGGCCUGCCCAGCCCUUCGGUAUGGUGAGGAAUGGAACAGAUGCGGCAGCGCGACAUCCAUGUCCCCGUUGACCCCGUCGCGCUCCACACAGGAGGGCUCGCCGUACAAUGAGGAAGCCCGCUGCACCCCACGCGCGUUUCAGCGCAGUUGGGCAUCAACACCGCGACCACCGCAAUCUCCUGGGGCGAACGCACCGUACCUGUGACAACUUCUUGCCGCCCUUGCACAACUCUCUCUCACACAAAAGCGUACACAACAGGAACGCACGCUCUGACGUGUGCGCGCCACUUCACCCCUUUCUCGCACCGUGACAGCUGAUACUGCUGAUACUGUGCCCCAUCGUUUCUGUGUUUUCGAUCUUCCCCUUCUCCCUAACAUUCUCUGGCUCUGUGGUAUACCUGUUUAAAUAUUCGUUGUUCGCUUUCAUAAUCUCAUGCGUGCCUCGUCCAUGGGUGUGCCGUUUACCGCACAUCCGCACGCUUCUUGACCUGCUCUCUCUCUACCUCUUUUUUGUUCUCUGCACACGAACACGCGCGCGCCAUCACCAACACCACACAGCCCAACGAACGACGAGAAACAAGAAGAGAGAAACGAGCACCGCUCUCUUGUUUUCCCUUGUUUGCCUGCUCGUGCCCGCUGCGGUUAUCCACAUUUCUGUUACUUGUUUUUCUGGUAUUGAUCGGUCUUCUCUAGUUGAUGCGUGUGCCCGUGUAUAUCAGUAUUUCCCUCUGAGUGCGUGUCGGCGUGCGUGUGUGGAUUUUUCUUUCCGUUUUGUGUUUGGCUGUCCUUGACGUUCUUUGUUCACCCCUCCGCAACUCUUGUACCUACCCACCCCCCUCCCUCCCUUUCUCCCUCUCUCGCUUGUACCUCUCUUUCUUUUCAAUGAAAGCGACACACACACACACACACACACAGACACACGCCCAGCUGCAUAUACGCGCGUUAUUGUCUCUCUUUUUCUCUGCUCUCCUCUGCUGCAGCAGCGAUUCUCACCCACCUGCCUCCCCCCACACCCACACACGUAGUCUGCCUCUCUCUCUCUCUCGUUGACGACGGUCAAGACGAUUUAGGGGCGGAACGGGUCGCCCUCUCCUCACGUUUCGCUCUCGACUGCGGUCUUAUCCUUUUUUUUCUCUCUACCUUUUCUUUCACCUCCUCCCAUGUGUCCCUUGACGCUCAGUUCUUUGUUUAUUCUCUCUUGGUGUGUGUGUGCGCCUUCUUCUCUCCACGUGAUGCUUUCCUUUUUUUUUUCGUUCAGUGACUCUCUCUCUUCAUUCCCCUCGCAACCGUGCGCACCUGCGCCUCUGCACCCCACCCCAUCACCCUAACCCCAUGUUCUUGUGCGUAGCGAAUCUUCUUCGCCGUACUGUUGGUGGCGUAGGGAUUGACGUGUCUGGCGCGUGCUUGCGUGUGUAUGUGUGUACCGUGCUCGGGUCGGGAAGGAGGGGAUCAGAUAGGCCUUUGCCAAUCCGUCGUCUCUUCUCGCAUUCGCCGAGUCCUCGUAGUUUCUUUGUCCCCGCAACAGGGGUACACCACCGAAGCGGAGAGCAACGCAGCGACAAGGGGAACGAAGCAGUAGCACACAUAAAAUAAUGCAAGGAGCGACAGGCGCGCGCACACACACACAUACUUACCGACACAAGCGAUAAAUAUAUAUAUAUAUAUAUAUGCAUAUUUAAGUAAUUUUUUCUUUUAUCGGCUCAUGCGUAGCUCAUCUCCGUCUCUCUCUCUAAC
rnacentral:misc_RNA from 1 species